rnacentral:rRNA from 1 species
UACAGAGGAUGCAAACGUUGUUCGGAAUUACUGGGCGUAAAGCGCGUGUAGGCGGUGCGGUAAGUCGGGUGUGAAAGCCCUGGGCUCAACCCAGGAAGUGCAUUCGAUACUACCGUACUAGAGUCCCGGAGAGGUUGGUGGAACUCUCGGUGUAGAGGUGAAAUUCGUAGAUAUCGAGAAGAACACCGGUGGCGAAGGCGGCCAACUGGACGGUGACUGACGCUGAGACGCGAAAGCGUGGGGAGCGAACAGG